GUGUUCGCUUCGGCAGCACAUAUACUAAAAUUGGAACGAUACAGAGAAGGUUAGCAUGGCCCCUGCACAAGGAUGACACGCAAAUUUGUGAAGCGUUCCAUAUUUUU
ensembl:snRNA U6 U6 spliceosomal RNA